GACGACGCUGCGGCGUGCUAAUACAUGCAAGUAGACGCACAGGAUGCCCGUAGUUUACUACACCGUAUUCUGUGAGUUGCGAACGGGUGAGUAACGCGUAGGUAACCUGCCUGGUAGCGGGGGAUAACUAUUGGAAACGAUAGCUAAUGACCGCAUAAGGACAUUUACUGCAUGGUAGAUGUUUAAAAGGUGCAAAUGCAUCCUACCAGAUGGACCUGCGUUGUAUUAGCUAGUAGGUGAGGUAACGGCUCACCUAGGCUGACGAUACAUAGCCGACCUGAGAGGGUGAUCGGCCACACUGGGACUGAGACACGGCCCAGACUCCUACGGGAGGCAGCAGUAGGGAAUCUUCGGCAAUGGACGGAAGUCUGACCGAGCAACGCCGCGUGAGUGAAGAAGGUUUUCGGAUCGGUAAAGCUCUGUGUAAGAGAAGAACGAGUGUGAGAGUGGAAAGUUCACACUGUGACGGUAUCUUACCAGA
rnacentral:rRNA from 1 species